rnacentral:rRNA from 1 species
CAGAGGGUGCGAGCGUUAAUCGGAAUUACUGGGCGUAAAGCGCGCGUAGGCGGCUUUGCAAGUCGGGUGUGAAAUCCCCAGGCUUAACCUGGGAACUGCAUUCGAGACUGCAUUGCUAGAGUAUGGGAGAGGGAAGUGGAAUUUCAGGUGUAGCGGUGAAAUGCGUAGAUAUCUGAAGGAACAUCAGUGGCGAAGGCGGGUCUCUGGGCCGAUACUGACGCGUGAGGAGCGAAAGCGUGGGGAGCGAACAGG